UUUGCGUCAAAUGCCGACCGACCGUAGAAUGGUGGACGUUGAGUUCUUCAGCGGCUUCUGGUGUAGUUGUAAGAGGACCGGCUUCCAUGAUUGCUCUCAAUUGGUGGUUGUCAACUUCCGACGACUGGCCGCUACGCUCCUCAUCUUCAAGGCUCUCCUCUCUUUUGCAAAACUUCUUGAACCGCCACUGCAUGGUAACCGUGGCCACGUGGACAAAGCCAACGCCAGCUCCUCUCAUCCCCAUUGAGAUAAGCAAGGCAACUCCAGCCCGUACCACCAACAUCCCCAGGCCAGGAGAACAGCCAAUGAAAGCGCAUUUGAAAGACUGCCAUCUUCCUCGCAAAUCCAUUUCUCAAGGCCAAGAGACAAGGUCUUGCUCUGUUGCCCAGGCUGGAGUACAGUGGAGUAGCUCACUGCAGCCUCGAACUCCUGGCUUCAAGGGAUCCUACCACCUUUGCCUUCUAAAGUACUGGGAUUACAGAUGGAGUCUCGCUCUGUCGCCCAGGCUGGAUGGAGUGCAGUGGCACGAUCUUGGCUCACGGCAACCUCCGCCCCCCGGGUUCAAGAUAUUCUCCUACCUCAGGCUCCUGAGUAGCUGGGAUUACAGGCACAUACCACCACAUCCGGCUAAUUUUUGUAUUUUUAGUAGAGACAGGGUUUUACCAUGUUGGUCAGGCUGGUGUCGAAUUCCGGACCUCAUGAUCUGCCUGCCUUGGCCUCCCAAGGUGCUGGGAUUACAGGCAUGAGCCACCACACCCAGCCUGUAUUUUCUUCUUAAAGCUUUCUUGUUUUACCUUUCACAUGCUAUUGAUUAAAAAAAAUUUUUUUUCUUUUUAAGAGACAGGGUGUUGCCAUGUUGCCCAGGCUGGUCUCCAAUUCCUUGGCUCAGGCAAUCCUCCCACCUUAGCCUCCCAAAGUGCUGGGAUUACAGUCAGAAGCCCCUGUGGCCAGCCUGCUAUUGAUUUUUUAAAAUAGUAUUAUUAUUAUUUUAGAGAUGGGGUCUUGUUGUUGUUACAUAGGCUGGAGUACAGUGGCACAAUCAUACCUCACUGCAGCCUCGAACUUCUAGGUUCAAGUGAUACUCUUGCUUCAGCCUCCCAAGUAGCUAGGACUAUAGGCAUGCACACCAUGCCUAGGCUGGUAUUGAUUUUUACAUGUUAAUCUUAUAAAUCUGUACUUUAUACUUUACUAAAUCCUCUCACUUUUUAGUAAUGAUUUCUCCGUGGAUUUUUGGAGGGGAGAGUUAUAAUAAUAAUCACCUGUACUUUUUUUUUUUUUUUUUUUUGUAACAGAGUCUCACUCUGUCACUGAGGCUGGAGUACAGUGGCACAAACAUGGCUCACUGCAGCCUCGGCUUCCUGGGCUCAAGUUGUCUGGCCACCUCAGCCUCCCAAGUAGCUGGAACUACAGGCAUGUGCCACCACAUCUAGCUAAUUUUUUAAUUUUUUUUUUUUUUUUUUUUUUUUUGGGAUAGAGUCUCACUUUGUCGCCUAGGCUGGAGUGCAGUGGCGUGAUCUCAGCUCACUGCAAGCUCUGCCUCCCGGGUUCACGAGGCUACAGGUGCCCGCUAGCAUGCCCGGCUAAUUUUUUUGUAUUUUUAGUAGAAGACAGGGUUUCACCGUGUUAGCCAGGAUGGUCUUGAUCUCCUGACCUCGUGAUCCACCUGCCUCAGCCUCCCAAAGUGCUGGGGUUACAGGUGUGAGCCACCAUGCCCAAACUAUUUUUUAAAUUUUUAUUAGAGACAAGGUCUUCCUUUGUUCCCCAGGCUUGUCUUGAACUCCUGGCCUCAAGCAAUCCUCCUCCCUCUGCCUCCCAAAGUGUUGGGAUUACAGGUAUGGCUGAUACCUGACAGUGGCUACUGCACCUGUCAAAAAGGUAGUUUUGCUUCUCCCCUUCCAAUUCUAGGUCUCUCAUUACUUUCUUUUGUCUAAUUGAAUUGGCUUAUUCAUCUAAUACAAUGAUAAAGAGUGUGAUGAUGUGAGGCAUCCUUGUCUUUCUUGUUUCUUAUUCCUGACAUUAGUGGAAAAGCUUUUAGGAGUUCCUCAUUGAUUAAAAUGUUGACUUUUGGAGAUUUUAUUUAUAUACAUGAUAUAUACUGUACUAAGUAUAUAUAGAUAUGUGGUACAUAUAGAGUCUUUAUAUUAGAAAAGCAUCCAUUCAUUACUAUUUUAUUGGAUUUCUAAAAUAUGAAUCAGUAUUAAAUUUUGGCAAAUAUUACUGUAUUCGUUCAUAUUGAACAAACCUUGAAUUCCUGGAAUAAAUCUUACCAGGCAUGAUGUAUUAUUUUUAAUGUAAUAUGGAAUUAUGUUUGCUUAAAUUUUAAAAUAUUUACAUUGAUAUUCAUAAGUGAAAUUAAUCUGUAAUUUUUUGUGUGCAAUCUUUGGCAUGUUUUGGAAUCAGUGGUAUACUUUAUAAAAAUAAUUUUGAGGUUUUCCUUUUGUUAUGUUAUGGUCUGGAAUAAUGUAAGUUGAAUUGGGAUUAUUUGACUUUUAAAGAUUUAAUAUAAUUCCCCUGUGAAACC